GCCGGGCAUGGUGGCGCCCGCCUGUAGUUCCAACUACUCAGGAGGCUGAGGCAGAAGAAUCGCUUGAACCCAGGGGGGUGGAGGUUGCAGUGAGCCGAGAUAGCCCCACUGCACUCCAGCCUGGGUGACAGAGCGAUACUCUGUCUCAA
rnacentral:SRP_RNA from 1 species